GCAGGUAAUAUUUCACAUAAGCAUCCUUGAUCCUGCACUCCUGCACACAUAAACAAUCAAACUCGAUAGUGGCCGCACUCAAUACAGCACAGCCCCCUCCCCUCCUUCUUCCAUUCUCGCUGGCAGCAUCUCCGCACGCCGCUUCACCCCCUCCCCCUCUCUCUCGCUGCGCUUGGGUUGCCGCACGCGAACGGAACGCCAGUGCUCCGCUGCGACCCCACACCGUCAUCCGCUCCCCAUCGAACGUGGUCAGUACCACCCCACCCCACACACACGCCACCCCCUUUCGCCCAUUUUCCUUUCGAUCACAACUUGCACGAGAGCACCAUGGCGGAGGCACAGGCUCGCAAGCGGACAGAGUCGCUGUCUAAGAUGUACUCCAAGAAGCCCAUCAGCGAAGGUUACGCGCUGUGGGACCGCGAGUACCUGCUCGCCGCCAUGCGCGUCUUCACGUUCAAGGCGGAGGGAGCGCCACCGUUUGUGCUGGCGCCCUAUCUCGACUCCGUGGCGGAAAUCACGCUGCAGAUGCAUGACCUCGAAGACGCCGCGGAGCAGUUCGCGAUUGCCGCCGGCAAGUACCAGCUGAUUGACCAGAAGGUGCUGGCAGAUCUCAUGCGCUUCAAGGUUACGGAGGUGUCGAGCAGUGCCGAGAUUGCGCUAGAGCAGGUGCAGGCGUACCUCGCAGCGCAGGACCCGCAGGGCAACGGCGGCGGCGAAAACUCGACGGCGCAGACCAAGUCUGCCUUCGCGCGCGUCUACGCGUACCUGGCGGACCUCUUGCUUGGGUCAGUGGAUGAGGAGCAGGCUAGCGAGGCGGUACUGGCGCAGGCGCUCACGGCGGCGGAGCUUGCCGUUCAGCUUGGCUGGGACCGUGAUCACUGUGGCUGGCUCAUCGUCGGCGACGUACACGCCGCCAGCGGCAACUACGAAAAGGCAAAAGAGGCGUACGGCAAGGCGCUCCAGAGGUGCCCGCACUACGCCAAGGCGUUGGAACGCCAGAUCGGCGUGGUGCAGCAGCUCGUCCGUGCCGCGGAGGAGUGCGGCGACGACGCCGGCAAGGCCACCCUCAACACGGAGCUCUUGAUGCUGCUGAGCCGCAGCAUCGAGGUGCACCCGCUGGCGAACACAUUCCGCGAGAAAGCAUUCUUGCUGAGUGAGAUGCAUGGGGAUGAUGCGGCACUGGCCUUUGUCGCCGAAACCCUCGAGCACCCGCCGCAGGAGGAGAUCGAAGUGAUCGGCAGCUCGGCGAAGGAGAUGACGUCGACGCUGCUGAAGGCGAAGGCGGCCAUCCUAGCAGACGGCAACCAGCUGGACGCGGCGCUCGAGGCAGCGACCAAGGCGCUGGAGGUGGACCCGAACGACGAGGAGGCCAAGUCGAUCAUACGCGACCUGCACGAGUCGAUGGCAGCGUAGCCGCGGUGCAUCGCGCCAGUUGCCCCUUCACAUGGUCUCCCCUCACGCCCCCUCUUUAGGAAGUCUGCCUUCUCGAGUCCGAAGCAGGUGCGGCCGCUUGAGGAUUCCUGCUGUUCACCACUGUCUUUGCUGACCGACGCACCCACGCAGAACCACCUCUAAGGUAGUCUCUUCAUUUGUAUUUUGGUUCCUCGCUUCCCCUUCCCUCUUUUGGUUGUACUCGUGGAUUCUUUUCCUGUGUGUUUCUGCGUGUGACUGUGUUGACCUCGUGGUGCGCUGUGUUCUUCUCCGCCCCCCGCCUGCCUCUGUCGCUCUGCCUGUGUGCGGCCGUCUCUGUGCGUGUGCGUGUAUUUCCUUGUGUCUUCGGCCAGUCUGUGCUGUGUGGGGAUGGUGAUGGUGCUUGAAAUGUGUGUCCUCCGUCCGUUUUCUGUGGCAACCCCCCUCGCGACCAUAGUCCUGCCUUUCCUGUCGCUCUCAAUCUCUUCUCUAGGUUUUUGCCUGUGUCUCUCAGUGGCUGUGCUUUAGGUGCUGUGCGUACGCGCGCGUGCGGUCGUCUGCCAUCGCUCAUGUCGACGCCCUGGCUAGCUCGCGCGGCGGAGAGGGAGGGGCGGGAGGCUUUGGUGUUCUCUCCCGCUCUCGCUAGCUCCGCCAGCCAUCCCCAACGACCGGACAAAUCGCCUCUGCCCUCCCGCUAAACACACACGCAGACGCAUACAGACGCAUACGUUUAUGCGUCUGUAUACACCACCGUCGUCGCUAUCCCUCAGGCGCACGCGGCACUCGCGCUGGUACACAAGCGCAGACAUACGCAUGUGGUGUAACGUCGCGUGCCUCUCCCCUUCGCGUGCAUGUGUGUGUGUGUGUGUGUGUGUGUGUGUGUGUGUGUGUUAUUGCUUCGUGUCUGUGUGCGGUGGAUGCUGCUGUGUCUUGCUUGAUGGUUUGGCGCUUGCACUUGUGCCUGUCUGGCUCACACACUCCCUCACCGCAGCACGGCCCCUUGUUCCUCCGUGUGUGUGUUUAUGUGUCUAUGUGGGUGUUUCUGUGUCUGUGUCUAUGUUUCGCCUCUUCAGAAACGGAAUAACACCGAGUGCGGUGAUCAGAAGCCGUGGCAUACCUUUUUACCCGGCCACCACCACCUUCCCUCCCCUCCUCCCUUCCCUCUCGCAUGCGCGGCGGCUAUGGCAUCUUGAUAGGCCACCGGAGAUAGCGUGGGUAAAGAGGGGCAGAAGGGAGGGAGAUGGGGUCACCUUUCUUAGGAGGCGGGGCGGGGCUCCAUUCUUGUGGGAUGGGGCCAUAUCAGAAGGGCCCUCUACGGUCCCGGAUGUGGUCCGGCUCUCCCUCUGAAGUUGUUGCUUUUCGUGAGCGUCGUCGUAAGCCCCUCAGUCGUUCACGGUGCAUGUGUUCAUUUGGUUGGCUGCCCGUGGUGCGCCUCUUCCACCACCAGCAGCACCAGCACCAGCACCCCCCCUUGCACACGCACAGAUAAGCGGAUACACACACGCACCCCUUCCAAGAAGAAAAACAGCUUUCUCUCUCACCGCGUCACCUCCGUACGUUCCCUCCCACUCCCUCCCUCCAUCACGCCACUCAAACGUAUCUACCCACACCCAUGCACGCAUGUGCAG
rnacentral:misc_RNA from 1 species